UCAAGCUUUAAGACAAGUAUACCUCAGGAUUCUAAGUGUUUAUCUAACUUGUUACUGUACAAGCUAAGACUCAAGAUAACUUUAAGAACCCUAAGGGACAAAAGGGACCAGUAGUAACCCUAAAAGCUCAUGAUACCAAGUGGAAAGAACUAAGGGUAGUUACCAGGUUAAGGAAAAUCUUGUAACACUAAGGAAGAAGGGUUUAAGCCCCUAAUAACCCACUGACAAGCCUUAUAUAAGAAGGAACCAGAGAUAUCUGAAGAAGGAACCAGAGAAAUCUUUCAGAUACAACCUUGGAGGAACAAGAUUGAUCCUGUCAAGGCUUGUUGUGUACAAGGAAAGAAGAUAAGUCUUAAGAUAUAAUCAAAUGCGAGGAAGCUGGUAAUCAAAUGCGAGGAAGCUGGUCAUCUCAACAAAAGACGUUGAGAAGACAAUCAAGAGAAACAAAUGCUGAAAUAAGUACUUGGCCUCAAGAUAUAAGUUAAGGACUAAGGCCACAAGGACAAUUAUAAAGACAAGCCGGAGAAGGACAAAGUCGGAAAAGGACCCUCAAGCAACAUGGAAGGAUAUGAUUAAGAAUAAGUACCUCCAAAGACAAGUUAAAAGUAAUGAACUUUCAGAACUGAAAGUUCUAAAGAGGGGAAGAAUUUGUAAUACCCGAAGUAAGGUUAAAAUAACUCAGGUAAGUUUAAGGCACCAUGUAAGGUCUAAAGGAUCUAAGGAAAGGAAUUAAAGGAUUCAAACAAGUACAAAUGUCCUAACCAGGUAAUUUCAAUGUCAUAACAAAUGAUUAUAUGAGAUUUAAGGCUUUUGGAAAAAGAUCUUAAA